UACGGGGGGGGGCAAGCGUUGUUCGGAAUUACUGGGCGUAAAGGGCUUGUAGGUGGCCAACUAAGUCAGACGUGAAAUCCCUCAGCUUAACUGGGGAACUGCGUCUGAUACUGGAUGGCUUGAGAUUGGGAGAGGGACGCGGAAUUCCAGGUGUAGCGGUGAAAUGCGUAGAUAUCUGGAGGAACACCGGUGGCGAAGGCGGCGUCCUGGACCAACACUGACACUGAAAAGCGAAAGCCAGGGGAGCAAACGGG
rnacentral:rRNA from 1 species